UACAGAGGUCCCAAGCGUUGUUCGGAUUCACUGGGCGUAAAGGGUGCGUAGGUGGCCAGGUAAGUUUGGUUUGAAAGCUCGGAGCUUAACUCCGAAAAGUCAUUGAAUACUAUCUGGCUGGAGGGUCGGAGGGGAGACUGGAAUUCUCGGUGUAGCAGUGAAAUGCGUAGAUAUCGAGAGGAACACCAGUGGCGAAGGCGAGUCUCUGGACGACUCCUGACACUGAGGCACGAAAGCUAGGGGAGCAAACAGG
rnacentral:rRNA from 1 species